rnacentral:misc_RNA from 1 species
AAAGUCGUAACAAGGUUUCCGUAGGUGAACCUGCGGAAGGAUCAUUACUGGAAAUAUUCGAGGUUGUAGCUGGCCUUCCGGGGCAUGUGCUCGCCUUGAUUCAAAUCCAUCUAACACCUGUGCACUUAAUGUAGUCUAUUGAAAAAAACGGGGCUUGUUUCUCUCUUGGGUCAUACCAAAAGAAAGACAGUCUUUUUUUUUUGAUUUAGAUCUACGUCUUUUACACAUACACUUAAAAAAGUUUAGAAUGUCAUACUUGUGAUAAAUACACAUUUAAAACAACUUUCAACAACGGAUCUCUUGGCUCUC